rnacentral:rRNA from 1 species
GACGAACGCUGGCGGCGUGCUUAACACAUGCAAGUCGUACGGUAAGGCCCUUUCGGGGGUACACGAGUGGCGAACGGGUGAGUAACACGUGAGUAACCUGCCCACAACUUUGGGAUAACGCUAGGAAACUGGUGCUAAUACUGGAUAUGUGCUCCUGCUGCAUGGUGGGGGUUGGAAAGCUCCGGCGGUUGUGGAUGGACUCGCGGCCUAUCAGCUUGUUGGUGGGGUAGUGGCCUACCAAGGCGGCGACGGGUAGCCGGCCUGAGAGGGUGACCGGCCACAUUGGGACUGAGAUACGGCCCAGACUCCUACGGGAGGCAGCAGUGGGGAAUAUUGUACAAUGGGCGCAAGCCUGAUGCAGCAACGCCGCGUGCGGGAUGACGGCCUUCGGGUUGUAAACCGCUUUCAGCAGGGACGAAGCUUUUUGUGACGGUACCUGCAGAAGAAGCACCGGCUAACUACGUG